AGAGUUUGAUCCUGGCUCAGAACGAACGCUGGCGGCAGGCUUAACACAUGCAAGUCGAGCGCCCAGCAAUGGGAGCGGCGGACGGGUGAGUAACACGUGGGAAUAUGCCUUUCGGUACGGAACAACUCAGGGAAACUUGAGCUAAUGCCGUAUACGCCCUUACGGGGAAAGAUUUAUCGCCGAAAGAUUAGCCCGCGUCUGAUUAGCUUGUUGGUGAGGUAAUGGCUCACCAAGGCGGCGAUCAGUAGCUGGUUUGAGAGAACGACCAGCCACACUGGGACUGAGACACGGCCCAGACUCCUACGGGAGGCAGCAGUGGGGAAUCUUGGACAAUGGGGGAAACCCUGAUCCAGCCAUGCCGCGUGAGUGAUGAAGGCCUUAGGGUUGUAAAACUCUUUCGACGGGGACGAUAAUGACGGUACCCGUAGAAGAAGCUCCGGCUAACUUCGUGCCAGCCGCCGCGGUAA
rnacentral:rRNA from 1 species